rnacentral:rRNA from 1 species
GGAAUGCAUCGAGAUUUAAAGCUCCGGCGCCUAAGGAUGGGUCUGCGGCCUAUCAGGUAGUAGUGGGUGUAGCGUACCUACUAGCCUACGACGGGUACGGGUUGUGAGAGCAAGAGCCCGGAGAUGGAUUCUGAGACACGAAUCCAGGCCCUACGGGGUGCAGCAGGCGCGAAAACUUUACAAUGCUGGCAACAGCGAUAAGGGAACCUCGAGUGCCAGGUUACAAAUCUGGCUGUCGAGAUGCCUAAAAAGCAUUUCAUAGCAAGGGCCGGGCAAGACCGGUGCCAGCCGCCGCGGUAACACCGGCGGCUCGAGUGGUAACCGUUAUUAUUGGGUCUAAAGGGUCUGUAGCCGGCCGGAUAAGUCUCUUGAGAAAUCUGGCAGCUUAACUGUCAGGCUUUCAGGAGAUACUGUCUGGCUCGAGGCCGGGAGAGGUGAGAGGUACUUCAGGGGUAGGGGUGAAAUCUUGUAAUCCUUGAAGGACCACCAGUGGCGAAGGCGUCUCACCAGAACGGACCUGACGGCAAGGGACGAAAGCUAGGGGCACGAACCGGAUUAGAUACCCGGGUAGUCCUAGCCGUAAACGAUACUCGCUAGGUGUCGGCCACGGUGCGACCGUUGUCGGUGCCGUAGGGAAGCCGUGAAGCGAGC